CUGGUAUGUAAACUCCCUUCUGCGCACUAAAUCCUUUUCCUUGGCAACAGAAUCUCAUAUCUUAGCCGCACUACCAAAUUAGUAGACCUCUCUGAUAUCACAGCGCGUGCUGCUGGCUGUGUCGUCUGUCUACAGCAGACGAGGAGUGCAUGACUUGUGAAUGAAUCAUUAUUUUGUGCCCUGUAGAAUUUGCUAUGUAUGCAGUGCAUCGUUCGAUAACGGCGCACACGAACUCGAGUAUGAACUUUAGGUUCGGCGUACAUAGAAUUCUUUGUUCAUCAUACUUGCUCUCUCCUUGGCAUAAGCAAUUACAAAUAGAAGGGCCUACUCCACCGAGUGUAAUUAUAUUUCUUCGACAGCAUUGUGUAACCUACAUUCGCCUGAUCUGAUUUUAUAUAUAGCUCUAUUGUGUGCAAUCAUUUAUCAAGGAGUUGGUUAAUUAAGGACAAAUCUGUGCGGGGUUUUUCUUACACGAAGCCAAAUAACAUCUCGUUGCUGCUGUGUAGUAUACAAAUUAUUUAUAUUUCAACCGAUCAAGGAGUUGGUUAAUUAAGGACAAAUCUGUGCGGGUUUUUUCUUACACGAAGCCAAAUAACAUCUCGUUGCUGCUGUGUAGUAUAAAAAUUAUUUAUAUUUCAACCGGAACGAAUCUGCAUAGCAAAGAUGUGAUUUUCCAUCCUCCAUGGUUGCUGAGCAUAAUGCAUCGUUGUCUUCGUUGAAAUUUUCCUCCAGCGAAACGAACCAUAGCGAGCGCGAGCUACACCAGCUACAUCCAUUAUUGACCAUUUUGCUGUGUGUAUCUUCAUAGCUUGCCUUGCAUAAAACUGGGAACCAUGAUAGAGUGAAUUUGAUGUGUCAUCUCGUACGUUGUCGAACUUGACGUCGAUCUGGGCGAACAUCUACAAAUUGUAAACGGGUACCGCGAUUGUGCAUCCAUCUCUAAUAUCAUUAUAUACACCUACAAAUUGGUGUAUUGACAACGACAUAGAAACCUUGCGUAAUCUGUUUAUUUUGUCGAGUAACAGAGUUAAGGAGAGUCAGGCUGACGUUCCAUGAUGAAGUUGGAUAUUCACGAAGCAGCUUUCACUGGUGACACUAGAAACAUCAACGCCGCUUUGGAUCAGGGCCAGGAUCCGAAGGAAAAAGAUAGGACAGGCACAACUGCGUUGCACAAGGCAGCCGCGAAUGGACAUGUUGAGAUUGUACAGCUUCUUGCCGAGAGAGGGGGUGAUAUCAAUCAACCUGACAUCACAGGAUCAACAUCGCUCCACGCAGCGGCGAGGAAUGGGCAUAUGAAAGCAGUAAAAUGGCUGGUGAACAACGGUUCUGACAUACGGGCCAAGAGCCAGAAGGGAAACACAGCCGAGGAUGUCGCAAAGACCCACAGUCAAUUUGAAGUCUCUGCUUUCUUACGAGAAUGUGGGAGAGAAAAGUUUGAUUGGGAGAUCGACAGCGGGACUUACGGGGGACGGACAUGAUGAGGUGGCACCCCAUACCGGUCGGGCCGGCAGGUCCGUGCCCUACUCUGCUCUUCAAUUCCAGCUGUAACCAAAUCCUUAUCGAAUACUUUAUACCUCAGUCACACUAACCAGACCGACACCAUACCACAAACAUACCGACCGACAAAUUACAUCACACCAAUAGCCAAGAAUCAGUUGGUUUGGAGUUGGUGUGAAGUUGGUUUACCGGUGUGACUGAGUCACUGAGAUAUCCUGUUCUGUGACUUCUGAACACGUUUGAAACGUGGAAGCCUGGAAGACUAUCACAACUUUAAUGUUGUUGAUAAUUAUGUUCUUGUUGUAUUAUUGUAUUUACCGACAUUUAUUUUGAUACGACACUUUAGAUGCAUGAUUCCUAUUCCAUUCACACAUUCGGGGUAAUGUUAGGUUUUAUUUUUUUAAAACUAUUGUUGGUUUAUUGUCGGUCUUUUUUCGGCCUCGUUAGUGUGAAUUUGGUAUCACAUAUUCUUUACAUAAUCCAAAAGACAAGGGCAUUUUCAUUUGUGCAUCACCAAAGGGGUCAUUGGAGCACUUAUUAACGGUUAAAAAUAUAUAUAGAAAACUGAAGUAAUAGUACUUUCGGCAACUUUAGGAUCAUCUUAAUUCUAUUUUUUGACAUUCCUUCAGAGAAAUUCAAUCACGUUUUGUUUUAAUAAUGCAGAAGACAUCUUGGAAUCGGCAGUAAUUUCGCUCUCAUGAUUUUCACCUUUCUCGAUCAAAAUAUUGGCUGAAUCCCAAAUGCUUUGUGCCUUCGCAUUCUGUUUAAGUGUGCUAACAAUUUCAUAAUCCAUUACGUAACCCAUUGAUGUAAUAAUGUAUAAAAUCAUCUUUAAGAUACUAUUUAUAAGAUACCAUGACACUUAUUUGUACAUAUUUAGAGAAUACUUCACUUAUAUUUCAUAACACUUAUUUGUACAUAUUUAGAGAAUAUUUCAGAGUAAGUCAUUCUUGUUAUAUAUUUUUUGUUAGGGUAAAUAAUAACCUGUUGAAACAAUUCUGUCUAUUAUUAGACUAAAAAGGUGUACCCAACUUUGGUAGCUUCAAAUAAAAAAAAGUUAUAAC